UCCCUGGUGGUCUAGUGGCUAGGAUUCGGCGCUUUCACCGCCGCGGCCCGGGUUCGACUCCCGGUCAGGGAA
rnacentral:tRNA from 1 species